rnacentral:rRNA from 1 species
AUUGAACGCUGGCGGCAGGCCUAACACAUGCAAGUCGAACGGUAACAGGAAGAAGCUUGCUUCUUUGCUGACGAGUGGCGGACGGGUGAGUAAUGUCUGGGAAACUGCCUGAUGGAGGGGGAUAACUACUGGAAACGGUAGCUAAUACCGCAUAAUGUCGCAAGACCAAAGAGGGGGACCUUCGGGCCUCUUGCCAUCGGAUGUGCCCAGAUGGGAUUAGCUAGUAGGUGGGGUAACGGCUCACCUAGGCGACGAUCCCUAGCUGGUCUGAGAGGAUGACCAGCCACACUGGAACUGAGACACGGUCCAGACUCCUACGGGAGGCAGCAGUGGGGAAUAUUGCACAGUGGGCGCAAGCCUGAUGCAGCUAUGCCGCGUGUAUGAAGAAGGCCUUCGGGUUGUAAAGUACUUUCAGCGGGGAGGAAGGGAGUAAAGUUAAUACCUUUGCUCAUUGACGUUACCCGCAGAAGAAGCACCGGCUAACUCCGU